ACUCCUACGGGAGGCAGCAGUGGGGAAUUUUGGACAAUGGGGGAAACCCUGAUCCAGCCAUGCCGCGUGAGUGAAGAAGGCCUUCGGGUUGUAAAGCUCUUUCAGUUGAGAAGAAAAGGCUGUGACUAAUAAUCACAGCUCAUGACGGUAUCGACAGAAGAAGCACCGGCUAACUACGUGCCAGCAGCCGCGGUAAU
rnacentral:rRNA from 1 species